rnacentral:lncRNA from 1 species
CGAGCGCCAGCCCCAGCCCGGGAGUCACGCCGCUGGCGCUUGACGCACGCGGAGACCCGGGGGCCGUGCCCCAGCUUUGUGGAACCUGAGGGCGGCUCGGGUCAGGUCGGUCCCCGCGGGAGGACAGGCGCGACCCGUCCCUCAGGACCGACGGCGUGUGGCUGCGGGGGCAUGGGGUGCCCCUCUCGGCCCGGUCGCUCCAGCGAGGGGACGCUGAGCCCCAGCUUUUAAAGGCUUCAUAUUCCUGACAAAUGGAGAUCCACUGACAUGAAGAAAUUCUCAAGCAACUAGGCAACUGGGAUUGUGCAGGGGCUUGCCCCUGAUCCUAUAGUAAAAGGUCCAGCCCUCACUAGCUGAAGACAGCAUGAAAAGCAGGAACUUGGUGGUGGUAUGACGUUUCAAUGAACCAAAGAGGCUCUGAUUACCGUCUGUAGACACCCACGGCACAAUUAUUAAGUUCAUUAGACAGAGAGGAAUCUGGAUUCAGCUGUGACAGGACAGCAAAUUAAAUAUACAUGGACAAAAGGAGGAGGCAUUCAAGCUUUUUAUAGUCUUCAACAACAACCAGUCCCUACAUUUAAGAAGGUUAAUAACUGAGACAGCCUUCCUGGUGGAUCCAUCAUUUGGCCCAGCUUGUAGAAAGAUUCCCAACUAGCUCUAAUUAGUUCCAUCUUAUUUGGAGGCAGAGGUAUUCCUCAUCAUACCCAUAUCCUCAUAUAAAUUGUCCAGUGCCCUAGGUACCAGGGAGAAAGAAGACGAAGAAGGACAUAUACCAGAAGCACAUUAAUAGGCUGCUGAAAAACUCUGCCACACUUUCAGAUGACAGGUCACCUACAGAUAAAUGAUUCAAGGAUCAACCAAGUUCUGAAGUUUUUUUUUGUUUUUUUUUUUUGGGAUAGAGUCUCACUGUGUCACCCAGGCUGGAGUGCAGUGGCGUGAUCUCAGCUCACUGCAACCUCUGCCUCCCGAGUUCAAGUGAUUCUCCUGCCUCAGCCUCCCAAGUAGCUGGGAUUAUAGGUGCCUGCCACCAGGCCUGGCUAAUUAUUUUUUGUAUUUUUAGUAGAAACAUAGUUUCACUAUGUUGGCCAGGCUGGUCUUGAACUCCUGACCUUGUGAUCCACCCGCCUCAGCCUCCCAAAGUGCUGGGAUACAGGUGUGAGCCACCAUGCCCGGCCAGUUCUUAAUACUGCCAGGAGUGCUUUAGAAGGCUGGGAAUAUGGGGCGAAAGAUUAGACACCCAAGCUGUUGAAAACCACACAGAGUUUCAGUAAAUAUAUGCACAAUUUGAAAAAUAUAUUUGCAAAAAUCUAGGUGUCUCCGGUCUAGUCCUUCCUAUUAAUCAAAUAAAUUACCGAGCUUCAUGGCCCAGUCUAUGAUCCUAGUUCUGACCGCUGCUGCCCGUAAAGGCCUCAAUGAAUUCCUCUCUGAGCUUCCAGACUUCCUUGGCUGGUGACUUGUUCCUCUUGGGACAGCUUUUGCUUGAGCUGAGCAGCCUGGCCCCCAGCUGUGCAGGGCCCUCUCUCCGGUGAGAGGAAACGCUUUCAGCUUAGUCUGUUAACACAAACAUUCAAAAGCAAACAUUCAAAAGCCACAGAUCAUGUUCGCAUAAAUAAAAUAGGAUUGAGAAAAGCUUUGCCCCAAGAAACCAAAGGGGUGUUUAAAAAACAGCUCUUGCUUUCCAAGUAGGCAGGCAGCAAAGCCACAGCAAUUCCAAAGGUUUGUGUGCUUGGUAGAGCUGGGUGGCUGCAGCCGCAGGCCUUUGAAGAGGAAAUGCCAUCCCUGGUACAGGCAGGCGGCCAACCCAUGAGUCCUGAAAGUACCAGAGAGAAGCAGAAAGCAGGGGAGCACAGUUAGGAAGUGAAAAGGGAGAGGAAGGCACCAAGGAGAUAAAUGAGGAGACUCUUCUUAUCUAGAGUUCCCACCCCAGACCUAAGAGCUACAGGACAGAGGAACUCACUGUGCCUGACAGAGCUGGGGCCUGAAAUAGAAAAAGAUGAUUCUAAAAUCUGAUGGAACCACCAAGGAGCUUGAGUGGCCAAAGCAAAAAGAACAAGCUGAAGGCAUCACACCACCCAACUUCAAAAUAUAUUACAAAGCUAUAGUAAUCAAAACAGCAUUGUUCUCCAUAAAAAGACACAUAGACCAAAGGAACAGAUUAGAUCCCAGAAAUAAACCCAUGCAACUAUCUUUGACAAGGCUACCAAGACAUAAUGAGGAAAAAAUAAUCUCUUCAAUAAAUGAUGCUGGGAAAACUGUAUACCCACAUGCAGAAUGAAAUUGGUCCUUGAUGUUUUAUGUGACUGAAGCAGUUUGAAAAGGAGAGUGAAUGAGAGAGUAAGCAAGCUGUAAAAUUAGGUUGGGACCAAGUCAGGGGUUACCAAAUAUCAGGCUGAGCUUUGGUACUUUAUUUGGCAAGAAAAUAAAAC